AGCUGGUAGUUAAGCUUAGAAGUCUUCAUGCAGGCCCCCACAUUUGUACCCUAAAGUUCAAAGUGGGGAUACAGCCUUGACACCCCUAGAAAUAUCAAGUCUGGCUCCCCUGGGUUUGCUGGAGAACCCUUGAGGUUUCCGGUGCCGCACUGUGGACAGGCGGUGGCCUACUGGCUAAGGUACCAGGCUGGCACGCAGGCGGGCUGGCUGUUUCUUUUCCUGACUCUGCACGUGUUAGAGCUGUGUGAUUUGGGACAAAUUAUUAAAUUUUAUGUGCUUAAAUCUUCCCUGCUGAAAAGUGGAGCUGAUGCUUAGGCACCUUUUGUUAAACACUUGUGGAUGAAAAAUGCUGUAUAAAGCAGUAUAAAAAUGCUGUAUGAGCUUUUGUGUCUCUUCCUUGGGGGCUGGGGUGGUGGGAUCUUUACAGAUGGGCUUUCCCUGUUAAACCUUGGCGUUAAAUAGGAGUUAAAACAUCUUAAACUGCUGGAGGAAAAAUCUUUCACCCUCAGUUGCUCCGUUUUCAAUUUUUUUCCUUGUACUUUCAUAAUCACUUCAGUAGUCAUAAACAGAGUUUCCAGAUAGACACAACCUGAAUUUUUAGUCUUUAAGAAAGUGAAAAAAAAUCCUUUCAGGUCUCCUUCAUAUCUCACAAAGCAGCAUAAAAGUUUAUGGACCCUUCUCCCUUUGUAGUUCACCUUUUUAAUAGCACCCCGUGUUCUGUGUAGUGACCCUGUUGUACAGGCAGGAUUCUUCUUCCCUGCAACUGCAAAAGAGAAUGUUCUUUUAUUAUUAUUUAUUACAUGUUGAGAGUGUGCACAAUAUUGCACAAAACCCAAAGAUAGUUUCCUGUGCUAAAGAAAGUGCUUUUUUGUAUUUAUAUUUCAGUUAUAGAGCACCUUUAACCAUGAAGGAUCUCAGAGCAUUUUACAGACUUCAGCUGAUAACCAGAGGAAUAAUUUUUCCCAGUGGUGACUGUACUUUGAUGGUAGAAAAACUGAUCAGUUGUUCAGCUGGGCAUAGCAGUUCUCCAUAACAAUAUAAUAAAUGAAGUGAAAAAUACCAUUUGGAAACUGCAGCUGUCUGUAGACUGGAUUUCUAACAAGGAAGUUCUAAACAAGGACUGAUGACCUCCAACCUGUUUGGAUGAAUUUAUCUGCAUGACCUUGUCAUGCAUCUGAUGCAAAGUCACCAUUAUGCAGACGGGUAUUAAAAGUGAAUUGCAAGAGAGAUUCAACAGUCAUUCAACUAAUUUCAACAGUCAAAAUUCUUCCUCUUGUCAUGGAAAAUGACUAAACCUGUUACUGAUGGCACAAAAACACAGGUGACCAUGAAUGAUAUCACUCUCCUGAGGCUGACACAGAAAAGUAAAGGCCGAAUGUCGCAUGAAUGCGACCCACCCCCAGGACCAUUCGCUGCCAUGCUUUGUGCUGCAAUGAUUCCAGACUACUUGCUACUGGCUUGGUGUGGAGCAGUUUCAACAGGUAUUAAACCUCCCAUAAGAAUUCAGUCUGCUUCCUACAGGACACUUUGCCAGGAAGCCUUGCUAAUGACAUUGAUCUAUAAGCAUUCAAGAUGACUUUCUUCCAGUGCCAGUGACUCAGAAGCAGGCUCAAAAUAAAGAAUUGCAGAGCCCCGCAUACUAUGGAAAUUGCCCUGCCUUCCUUAAACUAGACAGCAUUUGAAAUGCAAGAAUAUUGCUGUCCUAGGCAAAACUUCAGUGUGCCGACGCCAGAACAGAGGCUCUCAGCUGGAGUGUGAGAUGUUGGACUUUCUGGGGCAGUAAAGCAAACCUACUGAUGGUUCAGUGCAGGGCCGGCUCCAGCUUUUUUGCCACCCCAAGCAGUGAAGGGAAAAAAAAAAACUGAUUGAGCUGCUGCCGAAGUGCCUUA